rnacentral:rRNA from 1 species
GUCUACGGCCAUACCACCCUGAACGUGCCCGAUCUCAUCUGAUCUCGGAAGCUAAGCAGGGUUGGGUCUGGUUAGUACUUGGAUGGGAGACUAUGUGAUUUUUUGAUUAAUGGAUAUC